AGUGCUGACAAAAGGAAUGGCAUAGCCUUGGCUGUUCAAUGUCACCUUACAUCGCUUUGUCUAUGAUAUCGUUGGGCAGGAGGGUGUCUAAGGAUUCCUGAACGGCCCUUCAAAUCAAUCAGUGCAUGCAGACAAGCAAGGAGGAAACUGGGAGCCAGCACACAAUGCUAGAGCGAUAUCAAACAGCUCAGCAGAUGACCCCGGAAGGAUGAAUCAUAUGCCUGCUUCCCGCACAGGAGCCGGAUUAGUCCUAGUGUGCUGCAGAAGGUUUUCCUUAUAAAGGCUGGAGUCUGGGCUGCUUAUUGGAAGUGCUGACCAACACUAUUUCUCUGAAGCCUGGCAACACCCCAGCAACGAUUAUAGGACGAUUCAGAGGAAGAGGAAGCCACUGAGUUCACCACAUCUGAGAGCCACAGAACCU